AACGUAGGGGGCAAGCGUUGCCCGGAUUCACUGGGCGUAAAGCGCGUGUAGGCGGUCUGUUAAGUCGGUUGUGAAAUCUCCGGGCUUAACCCGGAAAUUGCGUCCGAUACUGGCAGACUUGAGGACGGUAGAGGUCGGUGGAAUGCCCGGUGUACCGGUGAAAUGGGCAGAUAUCGGGCGGAACACCAGUGGCGAAGGCGGCCGACUGGGCCGUUCCUGACGCUGAGACGCGAAAGCCAGGGGAGCGAACCGG
rnacentral:misc_RNA from 1 species